GUGGGUUUAAAUUUUUCUCAUUUCAGAUUUCAUAAAUAAAAAGAAAAUUUCUUCAAACAUUUUUUGAGAGGAUUAAUAUUCAACAGCAUAGUGAAUUGCUCAAAGGCAAAAAAAAUAUUUUAAGUUCAUUAGAGUAAGACCACAUUCAUUCUGUGUCCGAAACCUAUGCUGUGUCAACUAUUUAAUCACAAUCCAAAUUUAGAGCUGAAUCCAGCUUGAAUGUUGUGUCCAUCCUUGCCCCAACCGUUCAGGGUUCAACCUCUGCGGUCGUAUAAAGCUGUGCCCUGCAGAGCAUCU
rnacentral:lncRNA from 1 species